UACGUAGGGGGCAAGCGUUGUCCGGAAUCAUUGGGCGUAAAGAGCGUGUAGGCGGCUCGAUAAGUCUGCUGUGAAAGUCCAGGGCUCAACCCUGGAAGGCCGGUGGAAACUGUCGGGCUAGAGUCCGGAAGAGGCGGGUGGAAUUCCUGGUGUAGCGGUGGAAUGCGCAGAUAUCAGGAGGAACACCUAUGGCGAAGGCAGCUCUCUGGUACGUGACUGACGCUGAGACGCGAAAGCGUGGGGAGCGAACAGG
rnacentral:rRNA from 1 species